GAUGAACGCUAGCGGCAGGCUUAAUACAUGCAAGUCGAGGGGCAGCGGGGUAGCAAUACCGCCGGCGACCGGCAAACGGGUGCGGAACACGUACAGAACCUUCCUUUAAGCGGGGGAUAGCCCGGAGAAAUCCGGAUUAAUACCCCAUAUUAAUGUUUAAUGGCAUCAUUAGAUAUUUAAAGAUUUAUCACUUAAAGAUGGCUGUGCGGCUGAUUAGGUAGUUGGUGUGGGUAC
rnacentral:rRNA from 1 species